UGAGGCUUCCCACUUCAAGGCUG
rnacentral:miRNA from 1 species